UGGUGUAUCUCUGAUGCGUGUGAGCACCACACAGCUGGUAGUGCACACUGUAUCUCUGAUGCGUGUGAGCACCACACAGCUGGUCGUGCACGGUGGAAGGUUGGAGUAGUGGAGUGACUGCAGGCCCUUUCUCCUCCAGCUCCAGAACCCAGUGCCUCCAGUGACGUUCACUCCUCCUCUAACCCCUUCGACCCCUUCAUCACAGAGUCUGGCGAUGGCUCUGGGAGUGAGAUGCCAUCUGAGUCCUCCCCCUCAACCCGUCCAACGCUGACCUUGCACUUGUCCUGGGUGCUUGCGGCCUGCGUGCUUGGUGCCGUCCUAGUGCUGGCGGUCUACAUCCUCAGACACAGAGAGCAGUUCACAUCUAAACUGUUCAAGCUGGCUCGAUGCUCCACCU